UACAAACUGCAGCUGUCUGUCUUCAGAUGGACUGUUACUGCCCCGACCCAACACAUGCAGUGCAGACCUUCAGACCGUACACACACUUCCGCCAGUGAUGCUGUGUUGUAGAGAGAGGAAGAGAAGACAGAAAAGAGAGAAAGGAGAUAGGUGGUGGUGGUAGUAGUAGUAGUAGUAGUAGUAGUAGUAGUAGUAGUAGUAGUAGUAGUAGUAGUAGUAGUCAUUGUGUGGGCCCCUCUCUCUCUCUCUCUCUCUCUCUCUCUCUCUCUCUCUCUCAGCCCCACAGUAUGCUUACAAACCCACAGUCACCCCCCACAGCCAACCCCCACCCCUUUAUAUGUGUGUGUGUGUACUCUUCAAUAAAGGUAUAUGGUAA